UUCGCAAUGCCCGAAAGGGUGACGAAGCGACGCCGCGUGUGGGAAGAAGGCCUUCGGGUUGUAAACCACUGUCGGGAGUUAAGAAAUGCAAGGAUAUUAAUAGUGUCUUUGUUUGACUAAGGCUCCGGAGGAAGCCACGGCUAACUCUGUGCCAGCAGCCGCGGUAAUACAGAGGCGGCAAGCGUUGUUCGGAAUUAUUGGGCGUAAAGAGCACGUAGGCGGCUAUGUAAGUCGGUUGUGAAAGCCUUCCGCUUAACGGAAGAACGGCAUCCGAUACUGCAUAGCUCGAGUGCGGGAGGGGAGAGUGGAACUUCUGGUGGAGCGGUGAAAUGCGUAGAUAUCAGAAGGAACGCCGGCGGCGAAAGCGGCUCUCUGGUCCGCAACUGACGCUGAGUGUGCGAAAGCUAGGGGAGCAAACGGGAUUAGAUACCCCGGUAGUCCUAGCCGUAAACGAUGGGCACUAAGUAGAGGGGUUUU
rnacentral:rRNA from 1 species